UAAAUCAGAUAUCAUGUGCUUGGGAAAAUAUGAUAGUUGACUCCCUACAUGCAAGAUAGUUGCAAUUCAUAUUUUAUGUGAUAUUCAGCGAUACUCACUUAUACAGAUGAAGUUAUGUGCUUCUCUUGUGGCAAAGACAAAGGAAGUUUUAAAUCACUAUUUAGUACUCUUUCAUCUAGGCACAUGUUAUUUUGAAACGCUUCAGUUUUUAACACCGCAGUGCAGCACUGAUGUAAUGAAGAGCUUUGACUUUCUUGAAGUAUAACCCAGUGGCCUUCUUUUGAUGCCUUUUCCACAGCUAUUUCUGCUGCAGCUUCCUGUCCUUGACCCAGCCAUGCAUUGUGAAGUUCUCCUGAGUCAAUGAAUCCUGGUAAAAUGCAGUAAAGGAUUUAAGGUUAUCGUCUGUCUCUCUCUAACUUCUGACAUCUCUUUAUAACAAGAAAGAGUCACAGCCAACUGUAACAGGAGGGCAACACAAUGAAUCCUGGAGGAAUAUAUACAUGCGGCAGCAGCACUCAGGACAUGAAGAGCUACUUUGAAAGUUGAUGCAUUUCCCAGUGUCUGAGAUGAAGAUGGAAAGUAGAGAAUGAGAAAAUUUGCUGUCCCUGCAGAGAAUCUUGUUCUACUUGCUGGAUAUAUCUGCAAGAAGCUGGAACCCAAGGGUAUGGUUCCUUCUGAAGAGGUGGUUAACGCACUGCCUGCGGACCAGCAAAGUUCAGGACAGAGAAUACCUAGAGGAGAGGAUCCAGGAUUUUAAAAUUACAGGAGGAGGAAAGAUCCUCUGAGUCUGACUGUAAAAUUUCUGACAGCACUUGGCUCUUCUGUGCUGCUAUAGGGAGUGCUUCUGAAUUUCAUCUGCAAGGCACUGAGAACAGAGGGUACUCGGGACUUAGCAGAAAUUAUUCUCCCUUUUGAAGGAUCAAGCUCUUGGAGAGCACCCACUGUUAGGCAUAUGACCUCUUCAGAGAAACAUAUUGUACUUAUGUACAAUGAGAAGGGGUUUGAAGCACUCUGAUGACUGGAAGGAUAUGCAAGUACAACUGAUAUCCCCUGAUGACAUUUGCUUACUUUAACUGCUUGCACAAGAUUCAGUUAUGUGCAUCAGCAGAGCAGAAAGGAACAGCAUACAUCCUGCAGAGCUGGAAAAUGCCUUCGUUGACUUUUCAGUAUCCACAGCUUUGACAUGGAGAGGUGCACAUCCAGUGGCCAGAUGUAACUGCAGUCAGCUGUGGCCACUCCAAGCUGGAAAUGAGUGUCUGAGCAUCCUGAUCACUAAUCCUUCCACUGCAGUGCCUGUGUUCUGGCUGCUCUCUUGGUCUAAAUAAGCUGCAGAGCUCAGAGCUGGCGGAAUUCAGUGCCUUAACAGCACUUUCUCUCCAGCCUGUGCUGUAGGUGUUUUAUGAGAACAUGGAGCUGCAUGUCACAGUACCAUUUUUCUGUGGGUUAAAGGAGACUGUUCUAACACUCCCAGCUUCUGCUGCCCAGUCAUUCUCUCUUUGUAAUUAGCAUGAAGACUACCCUUCAGUCAAAACUAGCCACCUGGAAAGUUUCAGCUUGUAAUAUGCAGCUUUUUUUGUGAAUUAUGAAUGUGCAAAAAAGAGACCUUUCUCCUUACACCCACUUCCUUGCAUAAUUCAAAUAUGAAUGAAUGAAUUUUAUUCAGGCUUGCCAAAAAAAAUAAAAAAUCAUAUUUCAGCUGAUAACAAGCAUGAAAAAUUUCAGAUGAAAGGGAUUUUUUUUUUUUUAAAAGAAUAUUCUGAGCAUGGGAGAACAGCAGGUUAAGACAGAAGUCUCAGUGCAGCCUUAACUAUAACAAUUGCUAUCAAGCAAAUACUAUAUCCAAGCACUAAAUCUUGCUUUGUGCUGCCCUGGUGCACAGUAGCAGGGACAGAGUAGAAUAAUAAAAGCUGGUCCCCUUAUGCAAACAGCAGGGCACAGCACUUGACAGAAUACAAGAAGAAGGUGAGCCUGCCUACUGUUCUGGCUUUGCUAACCAUAUUCCCAAGGUCUGUGGGUUAGUUGUCACCUCUAGCUCCAGUCAGAUAGCGAAAGGUACUUCAAACACUAGCAAAGGGAAUGUUUUGGUCCUUUCCAGAAGAACAUUUUACCAAUUCCUUUCCUCCAAGCAUACUGUUCUAUUAAAUAAAGUACUUGAAGGAAUGCAUACAAGCAACAUCAUGGUUUAACGGGUCAAAAAGGGAAUAGAAUCAGUGCCAGGCAUUUUUCUGAUUAACCAUGUAUUUUAAAAAUAUAUAUCUGUGAAAAAGGUAUUAUCUGCGCAAAGCAGAAUGAGAUUUGGGCUCAUGCCAGUACCACUUUGGAAAUAAACCAUCACAGUGAAGAAAAGUUACCAUCUGGAACAUUUCUGCGUCAUAUUUUCUCUUGUUCCUAAUAAUGCUUUCCUGAUAAGUCCAGCUCUCCUUUUCUACUCAGAAAACAGGAUAAAAACUCCCUUUCAUUUACUCUGUGUUUGUUAAAAAAAAUGCCCAUUACAGUGGCUAAAUAGUAGUGAAUACUAAAGUAUUACCUUGCAGAUCCACACCGAUUAGAGGAUCAACAUAGAGGAUUUGCAAGUGGCAAGCUAGACAUAAAAAAAAUCCCCUUCUAGUCUGACAUAAGUUGACUGUUGCAAGUUGAGCUUGGCAGCAAGUGACCAAAAUUGAGUUGUCAGCAUCCUCCUAUAUAGUGGAAGAAGUUGUUGCUUUCUUGUGCAGAUGCAAGAGUUUCUGUGGGAAAACAGAACAUAAUCAUGGUUCUGAAUGUCUCUGUGGAUUGGUAAUGUCUCUAAUACAUAGAUCACUUGUGCAAAUUCAGUCCCAGCUGGAUGGGAAAUUAUUGAAAAUGGUUGUUGUUUGAUUGAUAUAAAAUGAGUUGUCAGCUUGAUUCAAUGCCUUCAGGGCAGAUGUCCACAGCAUAAUUGGCACCUGGCAGAAGUAAAGAAUUCCUUGGUACAGAGAAACUGCUACUCAUGCAACCACCCAAAACAGUCCUGGAAUGCCAUGGCAGAAAAAAAAAUAAUUUUACUUCUGGGCAGGAUCUUUUAUGCCAUAAAGUCAAUAAGAGAUUUGACGUGACACUUGGUGCAAGCUUUUCCCUGGGAUCCUGGCUAGACACUAUCAACUUUUCUGCUGUUUGGUCAAUACUUUCCCUAAUAAUUAGAAGAAAACUCAUGUAUUUGGUUACUUACUAUUAUUGUCAUGGUAAAGGUGUGUCUUUAAUAAAGAAACAUUUACAUGUUUGCUUGUACAAAAAAUUCUGUGAAUAAUUUUG